UCCCCAUUUGUAACUAUCUCUUGAGGCAUGACUUGAUGGCAAGUUGAGUAUCUUGAACGUCUCCACCCUGAGAAGGACAUCAAUUCAUUUUUACUAGAAUUGGCAUAUAUUCUUUGUCUCUUGUAGUCUAUGCCCACACCACUAUGUGAGGAUUUAUAGAGUGUUUCAUCCACCUACAUGGAUCCCACAUAACCUCACAUCAGACCAAUGGUCUCUGAUUCACCAGGAAGUGGGGCUUCUAUUAUAGAAUCCAGAGAGGAAGAAGGUAUUUAGGAUUCAGAAGUUUCACCUGGGUAUGUCUUUACUACUUUGCCCAAUUUUGAUGUAAAUGAAUACUUACAGCUGCAACAGAAAGACUUGAGCAGGAGUUAUGACCCCUCAGUAAUGAGGGGCUGGGUCAUCCCAUCCGAAAAGAGGCCCACCAGAAUGCUGCAAUUGCUGCAUGCAGAACUUAUAAAAAGAGAUGGAUCUAAGUGGUACAAGGGAUGGACCAUAGCAGAUGCUGUGAUAUGCCAUCUGGAUCCUGCCUCAAGACUGAAGGACUUAUUCCCCCAAGUUCCUGGGAGUUCUGCUGGUCAACGGCCUUCAGCAAUCAGCACUUUUUUUGAAUAUCUCUGGAGUGAUAAUUAAGAAACAGAUAAUAGUGGUUGCCUCUGGGAAGGAUGGCUGGGAAAUGAGGAUGGAGGAAGAGGAGAUUUGACACAGGUGUGGAGGUAAGACCAUGAGAGGAUAUAGCAAGAAGGUGCAAGCCAAGGAGGGAGGACUCAGGAGAAACCAAUCCUGCCACCAUCCUGGCCUCCGACUUCCAGGCUCCAGAAUUAAUGAAGAGAAAACAGAAGAGAGAAGGGGAGAAGACUUGGAAGCAUCUGUGGAAACACUCCAUUUAGCCCAGACUGGAUUGUCCACUGCUGACUUGUUGAUGUUCGUUGAAUUUCUAAAUGCCUGCAUUUUCUUUCUGUGCAGUUAGCACCAAGGGAAUCACAGAUAUUCUAAUUUUCAGGUCUCUUUUUAGAGUUUCUGAAAUCUUUCACGAAAAUGUACACUCUGGACUCAUUUCCUGCUAUGCAAAUUGCAACCUGGAGAAUGUGCCACAAACAUUAAAUGGCAUGCUGAAUAGCACAUUUCAUAAUUAAAUAAGGUACAACUGAAGCCCCGACCUAUGGCUUUAAGAAUGAUGAGGCCAGGGCCUUAUUUGGUGAGUUUGUUAGUUUGAACUGUGUUUGCAUUUAGCCAAACCAAAUAUUCCCAGGU